GCACUUCCGGCAUGGUGCACUGCGACAAUGCUGUUGAGCAAAGAGACCAAAAUCAUGCAACAACGACUGUGAGACACUAACUUUGACUGCCAUUGCUGUGGCAGAGGGAAAACAGUGCACUCAUCUUCUCAUCGAGUCUCAUCGAGUCUCAUCGAGUCUCAUCGUCAGUGGUGUAGUGGUGCUUGGAGAAAGUGGGUAUACUCUAAUUUUUCCUAACAUUUUCCUAUAGUUGUUUAAUGUUUUCACUCUCAAAAUGACACUUUUUAAUAGAAAAACUUCAGAAAUGUGAAGUUUGAAGUCUAUAACCGGCUACUGAUGUCUUUCAAUUCUAUGAGCUGCUCCAUGCGUCAACAACAAGUUGAGAGCUAUGUGCUCUUGCUGCCUGAUAUUCUGCUAAAACUAGCUAUGUGUGCAGUGUGAAUGUGAAUAGCCUAUAUUCACAUACUUUGCGAUUGUGUAGGCUACUUUGUGCAUGAUUUCACAAUUGUACUACAUAAUUGAUAUGGUGUUUACCUUCACUAUACUACUUUGAUACACAUUAGUGCGGAUUAAGAAGUAAUAUGCAAUUCCCACUGAAAAGAAAGUGGGUAUACAUCGUAUAGCCCCCACUACACCAAUGUUCAUCGUAAAUCUGUCUCUCUAUCUCUCUGUCUUUCCCCACCUAAGGACAUCGUGUCCCAGCGUGGGCUGCAGAUAAUGUUGCGACUGAUGUGCCCUGAUUAGUUGUGUGUGUACAUGUGUGUGUAUACGCUUGUGUGAGUAUAUGUGUGUGUGUCUGGCCACCUUUCCCGCUCCUGAUCCCCUUAAUCCUCUCAGCCACCAUGGCUCAAACAGCCCUGCAUUCCCGCGGCAACACCAUUUCCCUGAGUUUCCCGUCUGGAUUGAACCCAAACCACCCCCCCACCACCCCGGCCCCCACCUCCCCUCGCUCCCUCGCUCCCUCCCUCCACCCCAUCACAUCACACACUGAUGCAGAGAUGUCAGCGGGUUCACUGCGAUGCAGGAGGGCGAUCCCAUCCCAGGAAAUCUUCAUGGAAAGUUUCGAAGAGCCUUAGAGGGAGUGGCCUACUCUUGCCCAGGCCCCUCGGGGCAGUGAUCCCCCCAAUUUGUGCUGCUGUUAUAAAGAAUGCACCUCUAAACCACUUUCCCACCACUAAGAGGAUUACCAAGGUAAUGCUUCAUAUCAAAAAGAUGCUACGGCCGAUCUAGCCGCUGGGAGGCUGAAUUUAAUUAUAAAUAUAGAAGAUUGGUAUCAGACUUUUCGAACUGGACAUGGACGCCACUGUCCUGUACUGUGAUGAAAACCUAAUGUAUGUCCACGUGACGGUCAAGACCAUGUUGUAGUAAUCACUGUAAAAGCACUUUAGCCUGCAUAAGUAUACCUUUUCAAAUCACCCUAGUUUAGGUCACAUGCUGGGAGAGAUAAGAUGGGUGGAAGCAAAUGACAGUUAUUAGCAUAGAAAUGGAACAGGAUGGAAAUGAAUAUUGAAUAUAGGAUGCUUAGCCCUGGAGUCAAUAGUCAAAAAGUCUAAAUGUGUUCUAUAACGUCCAUGACCUAAUGUACAGACCUUAACAUUAUCAAUAUACGACACAUUGUUUUUAAAACUCUUUACUGUAUUGCUGUUAAGUAUCGACAACCAGUUGAUGGUCCAUUCUGUAAAAUAAAACUUUUCCACUGCGUCAAA